AUGACCACAUCUGAUCAUGUUCCAUGUGUCAUACAGAUUGAAAAUUCUAUGCCUAAAAGUAAGAUUUUCAGAUUUGAGAAUUGGUGGAUGGAGCAUGACAGUUUUUUACCUUUGGUAGAAUCAGUUUGGAAAAACAGUAUUCACUAUGCCGAUGCAGCAAAAAGAAUCAAUGCAAAAAUGAAAAUCUUAAGGAAGGAGUUGAAAAAGUGGGCAAAAACUCUGUCAAAUAUUAAGGAAGAGAUCAUCAAUUCCAAUGCUCUAAUUGCACUUUUGGAUGGUAUUGAAAAUUUCAGGAGCCUCACUACCAUGGAAGUUGACUUAAGGGAAAAUUUCAAACGGCAUUUAGACACUCUGUUGAAACAACAAAAAGCAUACUGGCAGCAAAGGGGCAGAGUUAAAUGGGUCACUCUUGGUAGUGAAAAUUCGUAA
rnacentral:rRNA from 1 species